rnacentral:rRNA from 1 species
UACGGAGGGUGCAAGCGUUAUUCGGAAUCACUGGGCGUAAAGGACGCGUAGGCGGGUUGGCAAGUCAGAUGUGAAAUCCUACAGCUUAGCUGUAGAACUGCAUUUGAAACUGCUAACCUAGAGUAUGGGAGGGGGAGACGGAAUUAGUGGUGUAGGGGUAAAAUCCGUAGAUAUCACUAGGAAUACCGAAAGCGAAGGCGAUCUCCUGGAACAUAACUGACGCUAAGGCGUGAAAGCGAGGGGAGCAAACAGGAUUAGAAACCCUUGUAGUCC